AGGCAGAAAUGCGUAGUCGAUGGAAAACAGGUUAAUAUUCCUGUACCGGUUGUUACUGCGAUGGGAUGACGGAGAAGGUUAGGUUAGCCAACUGUUGGAUAUGUUGGUUUAAGUGUGUAGGCGUGCUUUAUAGGAAAAUCCGUAGAGCUAAGCUGAGGCAUGAUGACGAGUCUCAAUGGAGACGAAGUAACUGAUACCAGGCUUCCAGGAAAAGUCUCUAAGCUUCAGGUAACAAACGACCGUACCCCAAACCGACACAGG
rnacentral:rRNA from 1 species